AAGGGAGACCUAAUUCAGGUAGGAGACGAAAAAAAAGUAGUCCCUACCAGGAAUCAAUCCCAAAAGGUCGGAGCGAGGCGAAAUUGGCUUUCAAACUAGGUUCUGGGUUCAAACAAGACCUGAAUCAGGAACAAGGGCUAUUAGCUCAGGUGGUUAGAGCGCACCCCUGAUAAGGGUGAGGUCCCUGGUUCGAGUCCAGGAUGGCCCACCUGCACAGGUGGCAAAAACAAGAGAAGCGAGGAAUCAGCACCUUAUCUUACUGACAUAGUAAGAGAGAAUGCUGGCUCUGAGUAAAGAGUCCAGAGGAACCUUGAAAACUGCAUAGAGCUAGGUGAAAAAGCCAAAAAAGAAGACCGCAAGGUCAAGCUAAUGAGGGCUAACGGUGGAUACCUAGGCAC
rnacentral:tRNA from 1 species